AAAAAACAGACAGAACAUAAUAAUUACUGACAGCGCAGGGAAGACAGUACAUAUCUGAAGUUAUUAAAAACAGGAAUCAGAGAAGAAAAAAAUCAAAAUAUGUCAGGGCAAAGAGACUCUGAUACAAGUAGAAAGGAUACUGAUGUAAUGGCCUAAUUUUUAAAAUUUGCUUUUCCAUUCCUCUCCAAUCUGUAGAUUGCAAAAUAAAAUUUCAGUUACAUCUGAGAAUGCACUUGCUUCCUAGAAAAGCAUAUGAUGGUAAGAACUACAUAUUCUAUGCUGUAUGUAUCAGCAGCUUAAAGACUAGCUGUCAAGGAGUCCUGAAAUACUUCUAAUUUCCACACAACCUGCAGACAGACUUCCUCCCAAGAAAAGGAUUUCCAUAUUUCUUAUCAAAGGAACUGUCUUCUAUUGGAUGUCCAGCAUAUCUUUGUCCAACCCAACUAAAGCUCUGCAGGCUAUUUACUACAUACAGCUUUUAUAUAAUGAAAAGUUAUGAGUUUCAGCCUCCUAAAGAAAGCAAGAAUAAAAUAGGUGUAUGGUGUAUUUAUUACAUUUAACCCUAUUCUUCCCUAAGAGCUGCCCUGUGAGCUUUCGUUAGAAAGAGUCCUACAGAUACUAUUAAUAUGAAAGAAGGGAAGAGACUGGCACCUUACACAGAGCAGAGAUCAGAAAUUAAGAUGUUACUGAAUCUUUAAAUCCAUUAUUACCAUGAAUAUUUUCAGUGCUUUCUUUCCGAAGUGGUAGCCUUACUCCUGUUUUGAAUUCCCCGAGUAUUUUAAAUGGCUGAAGAUAUUCUCAUCAGAUACAAAUGAAUGCAAUUGUUUAGUCAUGCUUCCAACCUUCUUGUAGCUGUUGCUUAUUUCAAUACCUCUAUUUUUUCUUUAAUCUUUUAGCUUUUUUAAGAGCCAAAAAGUAAGUCUUAAUGACACCAAUGAUGUUAUUAAAAACAACUGAACGUUUAAAAAUACUUAUAAAACUCACUCCAUAGUCCAGUGGCUGAUACGUUCAUUGUAGACAUGGAACAAAGGGUUUGCAAUUCUAACUUUAAUACAUUUUUCUUACACAAGAAAACAAGAAACAUGAAAUUUAUUAUUAAAAACUCUAAGGGUGUUUGACAAUUUUCUAGGCGACUGAGAUAAUGGAUUUUGUCAGUGUUUCAAUGAAGACAAAGACACCUUCUUCAGGAAUACAUUCUACUGCUUUUUUAUGAAUGUUCUGUAGUCUGCAGCAUGUAGAGUAUCUGGAGGUGAUACUUGCUCUCUCUACAGUUUCCCAAGGUGUAUGGGAACUGUUGAGUCACAGCAUGAACCACCAAUUGAGCACCUGGAGACAAGACCUGGCCAGCCCUAGGAGCACAGGUGAAGGCAAUUCACCUGUGUGACUGGAAGGGGUGGAGCCUGGCUCCACCUCUCUUAGACCUCAUUUAAGGGCUGACUGCCCCUGAGGAAGAAUCUCUUAUUGGAGAUUCCUCCUCUGGGGAGUUUCUUCUGCAAGCCUAGAUCCCUAGAGACAGCUACUUCUACAGGUUACAAAAGGAAGCUCCAACAGACAAAGUGCUGUACUUCAGAAGCUUGCUUUCCCUGCUCAACCUCCCUAACUUGUGGGCUUGCACCUGAGGAAUACAGAUUAGCAGGCAAGACAGACUAACUUCACUUUCCACCCUUCCAGUCUGGUAUACGCUUAAAGCAAUGCAGGAGAAGAAGGGAGUGGAUCCCUCUAAAAGACUACACCAAAACAGCUUCAAAUGUUUAGUUUGUGUUAUUUACUUCAACAAGCAUUCCCCCUAUUCUUGGUGGGAUAAUUAAAUUCAAGUCUAUACAGUCUAUCCAUUGCUGAAUCAGACCUUGGUUCUUAGGUAAUACAACAGCCUCACAAUUAUUUUUCUUCUAAUGCCACUAUAUGUGAAAAUAACCACCUGCAGUGAAGAGUUUUGAAUCAUCUUGAAGUCACAGAUGUAAGUGCACCAAGUAUUUAAAGAGUACUGGACGUAGGGGGAGAAACAGAACUACCACACCAGGAUGGAGAUGUAGGAUCAGGCAUUCCUGCUCUCAUCUACAAGAUGAAACAUCAGUUGAAUCAAACCUCUCCAGUGGUAUUAAGCCAUUUUCAGAAAAUAAUAUUUAUGACUUGUCACUUCUCCAACAUCUCCAGGACUGUCCUGAUGUCUAUGACAAUUAUUACCCACAAGGGAAAAAAAAAAAUCAUACUCAGAACUGACAGUUGAGAGUAAACUAAUGUUCAAAACCAAACUAAACUCAAGUUACUCGCAUGUGCAGCUACCGCAGUAGCCUUUAAUGCACUGCACAGGAUAGUUCAAUUUCUAGGUGCAGAGAGUGAGCUCUCAAAACGCAGCUCAGCAACAAAUAUGGGAUGUGUACAGUAGAGUGCAGCACAGCGUUAAUUGCUAGGUAUGGUCAGCAGGAGGAACUGGUAUUCAGAAGCACUUUCUGCUUCCCCAGUCAAGAACAGAACUGAAGACAAAGCAUGAAAACGCUUAUCUGCUACUAACUAUAGAGCGAUAUGUUACUUUGGAUCAGUGAAUUUUACCAGAACUGUGGACUGAAGAUGCAAGUGAAAGAAUGAGGAAGAGUAACAACUACUAACAAAGUUUUCAACACCUUGCCAGUAUCACUUAUUGAAGCCUCAUGCUGCCGACUAAAUCCAGUUAUGUCACUUACCAUAAACAUGUCUAAAACUAAGACACACAAAAUGGUAUCAUGAGCAUUUCAACACAAUGUUCUUAUGCUUUUUGAAGUACCAUUAUUUGUUUCUUCUGUCACAGGCAUUACUCAUAAUAGAAUUGCCAGAUUAGAAUGACAGAAGGAUUUGUAAUUGCUUUGAAUGACACAGAACAUACAAGCACUAAUAAAAAUUGUAAAUGAAGACUGAAAGAUUGCUAGAGUUGAUUCAAUUAAAUGUUGCCAAGGAGAGAUCUGUGUUCAGAAUCAAGUCAUACUUAGUUACCUCGCAGAAAAAAAUAGUUAAUAUUUUUAUUAAAUUGCAUCACAUGUAAACUAAACACAGUGGAAAGAAAUGAGGAUGAACGGUAUUCACACGUUCCUCUGAAAGUAAUGAGCCUCAAAAGUUCUUUCUUGAUCCACUGCUAACAGAUUACAUACAGUGACUCCACAAGAAGAAGAAAAAGGUACUUAGAAGGCCCAAAGGAACUUGAAAUUAAAAAACAGAGUCUGCAUAUGGGGAUCACUACAUUUGUUAGUGUCAGAGCAGAAGCAGUAAAUGGCAUAAGCAGAACAAGGUAUACUGAGAACUACAAACUAGUCUAGCUUAAGGUUUUGACGUUUGUUUUAGAAACUAAGACGACAUUGUACGAGAGGUUUAAUCAAGCCCCAAACCUAAUGACUGUACUUAACUCAUUACAUUGCUCACAAGGUGACACGAAUAUGAAAAUAAACUCAGCAUGAACAUGAAAAGCAUAUGGUCAAAUGCACUGACGCAGCACAACGAGUGGGUGUGCUCAGCCGGCGCUGAAUCGUGGUCAUUAUCACUCCAUCUUUAAUAUUUUCCUUCAACACGAUGCAAAAGGCAUAAACCCAUAAAAUGGAAUCAGCACACACGAAAAUUACAGAAGGGUUUUGUUUUUUUUUUUUAAGCAUGGCAGAGAGCAAGUACUGCUGCAGUCCUGAAGAAAUUCCCUUCUUGGUUUUGUUUUAUAAAACUCAUAUUGCGAAGAUCAGCCUAGCCCUUUUACCUUGUCAAGAUGGCAAUCGAGUUAUUGUUACCUUAAAGAAGUCUCGAUCUCUUUGCCAUGCAUGCACGCAGGCGCAGACCAGGUUAAC